rnacentral:misc_RNA from 1 species
AUGGUGGGGUUCUCCCAGGAAUUGCUGUCUUGGCUUGAUGAGAUGAAUUCUGCUGCCGAUUUGCAGGAGGCUUUUGAUAUUAUCGGUGUUCUUGCUGAUGUCUUAUCUAGUGGAAUUUCACGGUGUGAGGACUUUGUGCAUGCAGCAAUAAAUGCAGGGAAAAGCUAAGGCAUCUAACCAAGUCAGGAGCACGGUAUUUGUUCUGGUACAUCAUCCUGUUGGCUGGUCUCAGCAAUCAUGUUACCAGAUAUGCUUUCUUUGUCUGAAAGUAAUAAUGGUUGUGUUGUGUUAUAUUCCCAUGAACAUGGGGGUUUCCAUAACCCAGGAGCAAAAUGUUUUCCAACAUAUAUUUGAUCGUA